AUUGACAGAAAGUGUUUAUGUGUCAUUUUCUUGACAAGGUUUAAUGCGAUUAAGCUGAAAUUUAAAAUGCAGAUAGAGCAUGUUUGAACAAAUGAAGGGUGCAGAAAUUAGUUGUUUAUCUUGAAAACUGUGGAAACGUGCUGAUCACUGAAUUUGUCACAGAAUCAAUAUUUUCUGAAUUUAAAUAUUUUCUGUAUUCUACUUUAUGUAGUUUGAUGACCUGACCACAAAGCUGCUCUGAAAUCUAUAUCUGCUAUGUAUAUAAUAAACAGUCAUAUUUCUGACAGUACAUAAUAAUUUUGGCCUUUCUUUUUGAUUUAAUUCCGACAUCUUAGUACUAUCUAAUGUAUGAAUGACAUGUGUAUGUGUCUGUGUCAUUCUGCUGUAUUUUGGUUUAGAGGACAGGAUUUGAACAUAUCUCGCUGAACAUUAUACAGUUUUAUGAACUGCUCAGUCAGGAGAGCUACAGGUGUUCACUGACUGCCUUGUUCGCCAUUAAUCACAUUCUUCAAAAUCAGCAACAGACAUUAAUUUUGAUUUGUCAUUCUGUCUGCUCACCCGUACUCUGUCCACCUAUCUGUCACACAGGUCUCAUUGUCUCAUUCUCAUAAAAUUUUGUGUGCAUGUGUUCAUUUUGUGUAACCUCACAUCAAGUUUGAAAUCCAGCUUACUCCAUGAAUAAUUGUUGCAUAUUUCGUGUGUCAUAUUAAUCUUAAUUUGCCAUAAUUAUGACCUUGAAGGGUGCUUUACUUUUCAACUUCAUGCAUAUCAUUGAUUCUGUUAACUUUAUUCUUAAUGUUAUAUUCGUAUCCUUGAAGGUCUGCCAGCAAGCUGAAGAUGGUUGUGAGUUUUCCCCAAGCUUUGCCCGGUUUAAUACUGGCUAUCAUCAUUAGCUGUCUGGUUGAAUAACAAAUAUUCAUGAAUUUCAUCAUAUUUGGCCACUGUCCUGACAGCAUCAGCUGAUGGGAUGUUACAUGUGCUAAAUAUAGGAGUAUAAGGAGAUAUACCCACUUCUGGUUUCAAGGAUGUCACUUCAGAUUGACAACUCCAUUUUCUGAUAUGGUGGAACAGUUUGCACUGUCAUCGUUGUCUUCAUCUCAUUGAACUUCAAGCAAAAUGCAAGCCAUCAAUCCAGGACCUCCUACAGAAAUGCAUCCUACACCUUUCACAGACUUAAAUGUACUGUGUGCAGUAAUGCUUGAAUGACUAUACUCGGGAACGUCCAAAUAUGGAGAAGAGUAAACAUUAAUAACAUAUUUGUAAUAAUCAGCUCAUUACAUAUUAUUCUCGCUGAUAGUAUGAGUACAUCAGUGCAGAAAUUGCAAAGUUCUUGCCCACUUGUUAAAGUGAAGGUAGAAAGUGAUAAUAUUUAAAUUGUGUAAUAUAUAUUACAUAUAGGUGAAUGACUUAAAAUUUUACCCCAAAAGUUCAUUUUUAGAGGCAAAUAAAUGUUGUCAGAUAUACUUUUGGUGCGAUAACUUACCUAUUCCUUAGGAUAUCGUCCUACUUUCCAAACAAACCCCAAAACACCUUUAUAACAUUAAUAGAACUCUCAGAAUGAGACACAAGGUACAAUUUUUAUGAUCAUCCAAAUUUAAGGUCAUAUACCAUAAAUUUCCAAAGUACUUUAACUGCCUUAUCGGUGUAAAUGUUCAAAUAAUAUGUCUUUGUCCAUGUUCAUUUGUAAUAUUUUUUGGUUAAAUAAGUAUAAAUAAAGGGUUCAAAGUUUA